GAAACGGCAGCUAAGACCGCAUAGGUAGGGACACUGCAUGGUGACCGUAUUAAAAGUGCUGCAAGGCACUGGUAGAGGAUGAACUUAUGGCGCAUUAGCUGGUUGGUGAGGUAACGGCUCACCAAGGCGACGAUGCGUAGCCGACCUGAGAGGGUGACCGGCCACACUGGGACUGAGACACGGCCCAGACUCCUACGGGAGGCAGCAGUAGGGAAUUUUCGGCAAUGGGGGGAACCCUGACCGAGCAACGCCGCGUGAAGGAAGAAGGAAUUCGUUCUGUAAACUUCUGUUAUAAAGGAAGAAAGACGGAUGGAGGAAAUGACAUCCGAGUGACGGUACUUUAUGAGAAAGCCACGGCUAACUACGUGCCAGCAGCCGCGGUAAUACGUAGGUGGCAAGCGUUAUCCGGAAUUAUUGGGCGUAAAGAGGGAGCAGGCGGCAGCAAAGGUCUGUGGUGAAAGACUGAAGCUUAACUUCAGUAAGCCAUAGAAACCGGGCAGCUAGAGUGCAGGAGAGGAUCGUGGAAUUCCAUGUGUAGCGGUGAAAUGCGUAGAUAUAUGGAGGAACACCAGUGGCGAAGGCGACGAUCUGGCCUGCAACUGACGCUCAGUCCCGAAAGCGUGGGGAGCAAAUAGGAUUAGAUACCCUAGUAGUCC
rnacentral:rRNA from 1 species